rnacentral:rRNA from 1 species
UCCUACGGGAGGCAGCAGUGGGGAAUAUUGGACAAUGGGCGCAAGCCUGAUCCAGCCAUGCCGCGUGUGUGAAGAAGGCCUUUUGGUUGUAAAGCACUUUAAGCGAGGAGGAGGCUUACCUGGUUAAUACCUGGGAUAAGUGACGUACUCGCAGAA